AGAGUGAACGCUGGCGGUAGGCCUAACACACGCAAGUCGAACGGCAGCACAGUAGGAGCUUGCUCUUACGGGUGGCGAGUGGCGGACGGGUGAGGAAUACAUCGGAAUCUACCUUUUGGUGGGGGAUAACGUAGGGAAACUUACGCUAAUACCGCAUACGCCCGUUGGGGGAAAGCCGGGACCAGCAAUGGCCUGGCGCUGAUAGAUGAGCCGAUGCGAUUGCUAGUGGUGAGUAUGGCUCACCAGGCGACGAUCCGUAGCGUGGUCUGAGAGGAUGA
rnacentral:rRNA from 1 species